CGUUGCCCAAACAGAAACAAGCAGAGAAAACAAUCAUUCUUUCGAGGCUUACUCUGAUAGCUACAGUUUCUCAUCGAUCCCUCACUUUGAUCCUUCACCGCCUCGCGCUCUCCCACAGAGCACCUGCACCAAUCGAAACAGACGUCCUAUCAGACUUCCCUUCACGCAAAACCCACAAUUAUAUGCUUUCACACUUGGUUUAAGCCCUCAAAUCAUCUGUUGAUACUCGUACACAAAUCCCGCGGACAACUCACCCUCAACCGUCAACCCGCUCUCCAGCUUCUUUUGACGGUCUAGAUCCUCGUCGUCGCUGACCAUGGAGACUAAUCCUUGGACCUCAAGAUUGGCAUUUUAAUUGCUAAUUAUGCUUUUUUAUUAUUUAAUUAGUUCUAUGCUAUUAUUUUCCCGUUGUAUUCUCUUCCCUAGAAUGCUUUAUUUUACUUGAUUGUUUGGUGUGUCUAUUAUUUAAGUUUAGAUUACGUCUUGGUUUUGAAUUAUGUAGUGAUAAUUUUGAAGUAAAUGAAGAGUGGAUAAUUUAGGGAAAAACUUAGCUGUGAUUUAAUGUUUGGGAUGAUCACUGAUGAUUUGAAGAAAAUAUUUCAGUGAUCUAAGCUUGGCAGCGGAGCUCAUUCUUUCAUGGUUUUGUUUGAUUGCAAGUCAAAAUUUUUUUGAAACAUGUAACAUGAUCUGGGGAGAAGAAUAAACUGAAAAUUUGGGUCUUGAACGUUAGAGAGAUUUAUCCCUUGAUUGGUAAAAUAUUUUUGGAAUUCAAGUUUCUCUUCCCAUUGGCCUGCUUUGAAUAAUUGACUUAACAGUGUGAAAGGACCUUUUGUUUGAUGGAAUAAAAAAUAGGGAUGAAACUUUUAAACUGGGAGAUAGAUUUCUUAAAUUUGAUUUAGCUUAAUGGCUAAAAUCUAAUCCACCUUAUUAUUCUUUUUCUUGAUAUAAUUGACAGUUAUGAAAUAUUAAGAACAGAUAUGAAAUGUUAGAAGUUGAUGGUUACUGCAUUAUAGGUUUGGUGAUAGUGGACUGAAGAUUUUGUCCUUGUCUGGCAUUUAGCAGGAUUCUUCAUCGUAGGAAAGAGUAGAAAUUAGAGAAAGAAAGGGAAGCAAGUAAAGUAUAGAAGUAUAAGAGCAAAACAAAUAUUUUGUAUUGGUAUUAAUUUUGAAUAGCCUUCACAAAGCAUCUUGCCCUUUAGAGAGCAGUUACCAGCUGAUGAUAACUGCCUACAACAGGUAUAGCUACGGUUAAGUAGCUGUUCCAAAUAGCAAAUCACUAACACAAUGAACCUGCUUUUGAGACAUCUAUUUCCUGGUUAUACUUAAUUCAUUCUUAGUCCUUAUACAACUUAGUAAGCUAUCACUUACUAAUGUUUACUACUAAACUAUCUUAUAUCUGAUGUACCAUUGAUUAAGUAUACAGUUGGUUGUUGCAUUUUAUUUUUGUGAAUAUCUUUCUUUUUUGUUUAAUAUUUAAUUUGUUUACUUUACUCAACUACUCAUUUUGUUUAAUAUUUAAUUUGCUUACUUUACUCAACUACUCAUUUUGUUUUUCCAAGUAGCAUCCUUGGAGUUUGACAAUGUUUCUAUGUUGCAAUUUGUUGAUGCUACUUCAUCCACAAAUUCCUUGCUUGAAAGAUAUAUAUUUAUGUCUUCUAUUAUAAUUAUGCGAUUAAUUUUUUGUUAUGACUAUGCCUUUGAAAACAAAAAAGACAUGGACAUAAUACAUGCAAAGGUUAGGAGGCUUUCAUUCUUUUUUUUUUUUUUCUUUUAAAAAAAUAAAAGUUGCUAUUCUUUUUCCCAUUGAUUAUCUCUAACAAGAUAACUCCGUAAUUGAAAACAUCAAAUAUUGUGGAAAAUGAUUAUUCCAUUGCAUACUUCAGUGGCAUGUAUUUGCUAUUUGAAUUUAUAAGAAAAGAACAACAAUUUCACCAUACUACUAGAUUGAUCUAACAAAAUAAAUUUUAGAAAGAUUUUACUAGUUGUUAAUGUGUAGAGAAAAAUAACAUCUAAAGUUGGUGUAGAUAUAUUUAGAAUGUGGUUUACAGUUGCAGCAGUAAGCUAGGUAAUCACAUUUAUAUAAUCAAGCAACUCUAUUUAUAUUUGCUUCCCUUUUAUGUUUACAAAAAAUCAUAUUUUCAAAGUUUGAUAUCUUUGGAUUUAUGUCAUAGUUGAUAAAAAAUAUUUCUGGUAUGUCAUAGUUGAUAAAAAAUAUUUCUGUUUUUUAGGUCCUUGUGAAUAAUAUAGAGACAAAAAUCUUCAUAUAUCAGAGGCUUCUGACAAAUCCUUUAACAAUGCUAAUAUGUCUUUGCCAAUUAAGUUGAACAUCCUCGCAAGGAUCUGCAGAUUAAUAAGAAAAAUUCAAACUACUUGAGAUUUCUGAAUUCUUAUUUUAGUAUUAAAUAGUAGGUAGUUUGAAUCUAAGCUUGCAACUAUUAACAUCAAGGCUUUUGUUGAGCAUGUAUUCGUAAAUGAGUAAUUUCUCAUUGUUUUUUGCAAGUUGGUUUCCAGGAGUAUGACGAGAUUUAUACAUUGCAAUUUGGCAGUUAAAGUGGACUUUUCAUUUAUGAAUUUCUUUAACAUUUAAGCAAAAGUUCUUGGAAAGCUUUUUUCUUUCCCAUCUUCUGAUGUACCCUAAUAGUAUUUUGAAUAUUAUGCAAAUGCAAUUGUAGAAAUCAAAACAUGUAUUGGAGGGUUCUUUAUAAUUUAAAAAGUGGUUUUUCCCCCUUUCUAAAAGUACUACGUACCAAUCACAUGAGAUCUUAGACAUCUUGCAUAAAGCUACAUAACAUUUAUAUGAAGAAAAUAAACUUGGACAACAUGGGUUGGCCUAGUCUAUAAGGUAAUUCAUAGUCUUGGGCUUAAUAUCUCCAAAACCCAUAUGGAAAUGAUUUUCUCGAUUUUCCUCUUGGUCAUUAUCUCUAAUAGUUGCUUGUCCUUCCUCUUGGUCAUUAUCUCUAAUAGUUGCUUGUCCUAAGUCAAUUAAUUGAAAAUUGAGUUAGAGUGAAAGGAAAUAGCCAAGAGAUUCAUGAUAAGAGGGAAAAGUGAGUAAUGAUUUUUAUUUGAUUCUCUUAGACAUCCUGCAUGAAGCUACAUAACAUUUUUCUGAAGAAAAUAAACUUGGACAGGUUAGGUUGGCCUACUCUAUAACCUAAUCAUAUUCUUGAGCUUAAUAACUCUAAUGAUAUAGAGCUCAUAUGAUCGAUACCAAUAAUUUCUGGAAAGAAAUUAUUUUUGAAGGAUAAAGAAUCUUCAAUGUGCAUAUUGUGUUUUCUUUAGUUGUAUAUUGCAUACUUUUAAAUAUGCUAUUAAGCUGCAUUAGAAGAUGGCCAAGAAAUUGCAGUCAAAAGGCUUUUAAGAAUUUCUGUUCAAGAACCAAAAGGAUUCAUGAAUGAAGUCUCUUUAGUUGCAAAUAAAAAUCUUGUUGGAUUUUUGGGAUGUUGCUUGCAAAAAAAUGAAAAGUUGGUCUUCUAUGGGUACAUGCCCAACAAAAGUCUUGAUGUCUUUCUUUCUGGUUGUACACUGAGACUCAAACUACCUAAUAAUUAAUGUUGAGGUAGAAAUUAUAACUAGUUUGAACAAUUUUUAUUGAUAUUUUGCAAAUUUUAAUACAGGAUGUUCAAUUUUACUAUCAAAAACCUUUUAGCAUUAUUAUGAAGUUGCUAAUGGCCUCCUAUAUUGUAUGAAGGUUUUUUGUCAUGAUUAUCUAAGGUCUAAAGUACUUGAAAACCUACAAUAUUUUGUUUGACUCUAACAUGAAUUCGUAGAUAUCAAACUUCAGAACAAUAAGGAAUUUUGGUGAAAACAAAGUGAGGCUAAUACAAGUAGAGUUUUUGGAGCUAAAGUGUUAUUACGUUGCUUACUAUCCUUUAAAUAUAUUCUACACUCACAUUAGAUGUUAUCAUUCUCUCCAAAGUAAUGACGGCUAAAACCUUUUCUAUUGCUUAUUUUUGAGAUUAGAUCCAUCUAAUAUUGUUAUGAAAUCUGUUCUUUUAUGGAUUCAAAUAGCAUAAACAUAGCCUUUGAGUAUGCAAGUGGAGCAUUAAUUUCCAUAAAAUUAUUAGUUUUGAAGUCAUUUUAUUGGAGAUAUUAAUGGGAAGAAGAACAGUGGCUUUUCUUAGAAGAGGGUAAACCUCCUUAAUUUUGUUAGUAAUUUGCCGCUUUUUUUCAAGGCAACGAUUGUAGCAUUAAUAGUCUAAUUCUAUUGGAGUUGCCAUGGAUACUGUGGUCUAAUAACCUAGUAUAGGAGCUAAUAGGUCCAUUGACUGGAGUUGAGUGUGGUCUCCAAGGUGCUGAAAUAUUUUCACAUUGGAUUAUUGUGUGUUCUUGAAGAUCCAGCAGACAGACCCACAUCUCUUGUUGUUACAUUGGCAAGUGAAUAUUAACCUUCCUCAAUCCUCAGGCCAGCUCAUAGCAAGAUUAUCUAUCUCCCUCAAAUCAGAAAUUUUGUUUCUGUUAGUCAGGAAUUUUUUUCAAUAUAUGCCCAUGACGGUGUGCCUGUGUAAUUCUACAAAUGCGAUUAAGUUUUUUAUUUGGCAUCUGGUUCUCAUCUCUUAGUAAUAAUGUUUGCAGAUAUCCUUUGGUUAUUGAAAUAACAUGCAGUGAAGCGCAAGUGCAGCCUUCAAACUAAGAUUUAUAUUUAAAACGAGUUUUCUAAUUAAUGCCCUUAAAAUACUGAUUAAUGGGUGAUUAUCCUAGUUUUAAGAUCUUCCUAGUAUAUGUUAUGGAGAUAUGCAUAGCUUAUUUAUUCUGUCAUUGUUAGAUAGCUUUCUGUUAGUUUGUUAGGUAGUUAAGUCCAUGUGAGCAAACCUUUAGUAGAUUACUUUUACAUGUAAUAUAAAUCUACUUUUAUGCUCUGUAGUACUGGUAAUUUCUUUUUUCAGUACAUUCAUAUUUUCAUAUGGUAUCAGAACACAUCUUUUUUCUCUUUCUUUUUCCCCAAAAAUUGUAUCAGUUUAUUUUUCUCUUGAAGUUUUUCUUCUUCUGCUAGAUUUGUAUCUGUCAUCUUUUUCCCUUGAAGCUUUACUUCCUCUGUAUUAAGUGGUGGAAAUUUCAGGUGGAGUAGAUGCCGGUGGCAAUAGUGGAAUCAAAAGUCAUAAUAUCACAGUGGAGAUUUGUCAUCCUCUCCAUCUGUUGCCUUCUGAUAAACCAGGAGUAAUGAUUCUCUUGAUCAUGGAAGCAAUCAAUGAUUGUAGCCCUUGAAAUAAGAUCACACUAGUAGAGCAGUGUGAUUAAAGAAAUAUCAGGGCAGCUUCUGUUUUAUAUUGUGCCACAGCAGCUGAAUUUGGAUUGCAUCGGGAGCUCCUUUUGAGGUAAAAAUGCAACAUGAAUGACGAAUCUUUCAAUUAGAAAUUUAUGGUAGACAACAGGGAGAUGAUUCAAUAUCUGUAUAUUUUUUCAAGAUUAUUGAAAAAGAUAUGGGAUGAGUUGACAGAAUUGACUCUGGAAAUUAUUUGCCUUCACCUGGUUCUUUUGUUCAUUGUCUCGAGUUUUUGAUGGGAUUAAAUGAAAGUUAUGGAGUUGCAAGGAACCAGAUCUUGUUAAUGGAUCCAUUGCCCUAAGUGGAUUUAUACAAAGCUAAUUCAAGAAAAAUCUCAACGUAGCAUUUGUGCUUCUCCACCUUCUCAGUCUACUGCUGCUUUGAUAUCACAAAGGUCUCAGUUUUCUGGAACUUGUGAUAAAACUCGGAAUUUUCAGAGAAAUCAAUACAAUAAAACAGGCCAUUUGUGAACAUUGCGAUACAAAGGGCAUCAGAAUGAUAAAUCCACAAUCAAUACGACAAGCUGCAGAAGUGGUUCAAGGGCUAGUGGACUCUGGUCUUUCUGCUGUAUUACCUCCAGGUGAUCCCUUAACGCCAGCUCAGAUUCAACACUUGGUCACAUGCUUGCGGAAGAUGAAUGUUUCUCCAGUUACACAUACUUCAGCAGCAAACAUUGGUGUAAGCAGGCUCAUCUUCCUCAUCUUCAGGUUCUAUCGCCAACAUUGCAAGUAAUAUUAUUCAUUCAUUGUCUUGUAUUCAUGUCAAACUCUUCUUGAUAGUGGGUGCAUCCGAUCACAUAACCAACCUAUCCUCCCUCCUACAUAACAAGAAACCUUCUCAUACAAAUUCCCAAAUAUUACCAAACGGUUCCUUGGCCCCUAUCAUGUAUAGUGAUGUAUACCUCAGACCAACCUGAUCUUAAAAAAAUGUUUUCCGUUGCCCUCUUAGCAAAAUAACCUAAGACCUACCAUGUCAUCUAUUUUUCAUCUGAUUCAUGUAAAGUGCAGGACCAUAUAAAGGAGAUAUUGGGGAUUGUUGAGCAAUAGCAAGGGUUUAUCUUUUCAAAGACCUUAGACUGAUAAACCAAUUUCCAACUCUGCUUGUAGACCAGAUUCAGUUUGUAAAACCGUUUCUGCUAGUGUUGAUGAUCUUACUUGGUGGCAUGUAUGCGUAGGCGAUGCUUCUUUUUCCAAAUUGAAGAAUUUGUUUCCAGAUUCUCAGAUUUCAAAUUAAACUGAAAUUUGUCCAGUUCGUUUCUUAGCAAAACAACAUGCAUUACCAUUUCCCAGAAGUGUUACUAUUUCAAGUAUUCCAUUUAACAAGCUUGCUUCA